rnacentral:snRNA from 1 species
AACGGCGAGCGAACCGGGAA